GCAUAUCAAUAAGCGGAGGAAAAGAAACCAACAGGGAUUGCCCCAGUAACGGCGAGUGAAGCGGCAACAGCUCAAAUUUGAAAUCUGGCCCCUAGGGUCCGAGUUGUAUUUUGUAGAGGAUGCUUUUGGUGAGGUGCCGCCCGAGUUCCCUGGAACGGGACGCCACAGAGGGUGAGAGCCCCGUCUGGCUGGCCGCCGAGCCUCUGUAAAGCUCCUUCGACGAGUCGAGUAGUUUGGGAAUGCUGCUCAAAAUGGGAGGUAUUUGUCUUCUAAAGCUAAAUAUUGGCCAGAGACCGAUAGCGCACAAGUAGAGUGAUCGAAAGAUGAAAAGCACCUUGAAAAGAGGGUUAAAUAGUACGUGAAAUUGUUGAAAGGGAAGCGCUUGUGACCAGACUUGGGCGCGGCGGAUCAUCCGGGGUUCUCUCCGGUGCACUUCGCCGCGUCUAGGCCAGCAUCAGUUCGUCGCGGGGGAAAAAGGCUUCGGGAACGUGGCUCCUCCGGGAGUGUUAUAGCCCGUUGCAUAAUACCCUGCGGUGGACUGAGGACCGCGCAUCUGCAAGGAUGCUGGCGUAAUGGUCACCAGCGACCCGUCUUGAAACACGGACCAAGGAGUCGUCUUCGUAUGCGAGUGUUCGGGUGUCAAACCCCUACGCGUAAUGAAAGUGAACGCAGGUGAGAGCUUCGGCGCAUCAUCGACCGAUCCUGAUGUUCUCGGAUGGAUUUGAGUAAGAGCAUACGGGGCCGGACCCGAAAGAAGGUGAACUAUGCCUGUAUAGGGUGAAGCCAGAGGAAACUCUGGUGGAGGCUCGCAGCGGUUCUGACGUGCAAAUCGAUCGUCAAAUAUGGGCAUGGGGGCGAAAGACUAAUCGAACCUUCUAGUAGCUG
rnacentral:rRNA from 1 species